rnacentral:lncRNA from 1 species
ACAGUGAUGGACUCCUCAUUAGGUGGCUGGGCAUGCAGAAACUAUAAGGCCCCGGUGAGGACAGGAGUAGAAGACAACUGGAUCCUGAGCCACUCUGAAGCAAGGAGAGCAAUGCAGCUUAGAGAGAGAAAAAUGCCUUGCUGAGGGUCAACAGCAAGUGCACAGAUCCCAGGGCUGUGAUGGGACCAGAAGAUGAAGUGCUCUGGCUUCGGGAAAAGAGACCCAAGCCACAAGGAACAUCCUCGGUGGCAGUCCAGUCCCCAAGCCUACCACAUCAAUCAGCUCAGGUGAAUUCAAAUGAAGCUAGAUUGGAACUGUAG